CCUUUGCAAAGAGAGCAGCUAUGACCAACUAGGUGCCAUAGUACUCAUGUACUCGCCUAUAUUAGUAAGACAGAAAAAAGGACAGAGACAGAUUGAGCUAAAUGAGCUAACCUGAGAAACAGCUUUGAGUCUAUUACUACCAGACUCACUUCCCCCUGGAACUUACAAGCAACCUCUCAAGAGAUCCAGGUUUCAUCAAAGGAUGGCAGCAGACACUGUCAUUUGUAAUGGGAUGAAGUUGUAUUCACAGAAUCAUUUAAGAGAAGAAGGAGGAAGAAGAAGAAGAAGGAGAGAGAGAAAAAAAAAAAAAAAAAAAGGUUGGAAGGGACCUUUUGGAAAUACCCAAUCCAAUCUUUGGUCAAGGCAGGAUUAUCUUAAUGUAAACCAUAAUGGACAAUUGUUUGUCUAAUCUGUUCAUAAAAACUUUCAAGAAUGAAGAUUCCAGACCUUCUCUAGGUACUCUGUCCUGAUAUUUUCGUACCCUCAUAGUGAGAAAUUUUUUUUCUGAUACAGAAGCUGAAUUUUCCUUGUUGCAAACUAAAAGCAUUUUCUUCUCCAAAGAAUAUAUGCAGUGACAUUAUAAAUAAAUCAAUAACCAACCAGGACUGGUCAUCAGCCUUGCUAUAUAGUAUUAUAUGGGCAGAAAAAAUCAUUUACAUUCCUAUCUUAUUGGUUCAUUAAUGCCGUGAGCUUCAAGAGGUGAUCAAUCUGUAACUGGUACAAAGCUAGGCAAAGGACAGGAGCCAAAUAUCAAUAGCCAGGAUCCCAAAUCAAGGGGCAGGAGCAAGUGGGAACUGUGAGGUAGUGGGCUUCAGUCAGGUCAAAAGGUAGAUGGUUUUCAAGCCAGUUUGGAAGGCAGGAGAUGAGUUGAGGUCAGGAGAUAAGAAGUAGAAAACAGCAUCAGAAGCAGGAUACCAAAGCAGCAUGGUCCCCUUCUCCCUUGCUGCACUUGGCACAUGAAG